AUUCCUGCACUGCGCUAUUGGACGCCGUUUGAUGUGAAUGACUUGCAGCUAGUUGCUCUACUCGUGUCUGUCCACCACAGCGUGACGUGUUGGCGCUUGGCAGCCAGCACACCAAAGUCUUGAAGUUUGGCGAGAGGCGUGACUUGUGCCAUGUUUCACUGACUAUGCUAAAAUGUUCAAAGUGACGUUAGAUUUGUGUUGAAGUCAAUUCUUCUGCCACUAGGUGGCAUUAGCGUCUGAUGUUGGACAUUGGACCGGACCACUAGAGUUUUCUUUUCAACAACCAGAGGACUGACUAUAGUGUAUUGGAAUCACUUGAGUGAGUCAGACAGAUCAGUGGCAAUUUUGUCAUGCUGAGCUAGGAUGUGUGACGCACGCGCUAGCACACUUCUUCCUGGCACCUGUCACAGGCGCACACCAAAAUAGCAGCAGGCGGAGGCUGGAGAGGCCGCUCAACAAUUCCCAGCAACCACCACGUACAAAGCGCAACGAACCCAGUCAUCGCACAUGCCGUAGAAACAGCUGAAAAGGGCCAUGGUGGCUUAGCUCUCGGGGCCACCGUCUGCAGCGACCAACAGAGUCCUGACCAACAGAGUCCUGAGUCCAGAGUGGGACGGACCGACCGACGGACGGACGGACGGGGAAGUGGGCUCAUGUGUCAGAACUCGGGACGCGGUACCUAACCCAACCCCCUUCACCCCCCAUCCCUUGAGGCACGGACCCGGAUCACAGAUUCGACAAGAAGGAUGCACGCCAGCCUAAAUCUGAAUGAUUCUAAUUAUUUACAUUCAGGAUUUAUGUUUGACCAAGGACACCUUCUUCAUAACCCUAAUGCCAAAGGCACUUCAACACUAAAAGAUGUUGGGUUUUUUUUUUCCGGCUUUGAACGACGACAAAGCAUUGAGAAAACAGAAACGACAUCAUUUCUAAAAGCGAGCUAAUAAAUAAAUGGGGGAAAAGUGAGGGUUAUUUUCAUCGUGGUACCCAUGCUCCCUCCAGUGGUUUGAAAAAGAAUCGCAGGACAAAUGCAAACUGAAUUGUAUUGAACGUUUUCAUAGAAUCCCUUGGCAUUUCAUUCUUAAAACGUAACGAGGUUUUACUUGUGGUUUAUCUCGAUUUGAUUUUGUGAUUAUUUUUCAGUCCUAUAGUAUUGAUAUACAGUAUCGAUCUUCAAACUGUGUAUAAUGUCGGAAUCCCUGAACCUAAAAAGUGCAACAGAACAUGAGCAAAAACUUACUGUGCUGUUACACAUAAGCCCUGUGAGGGGCGCUGUUGUCCAGGUUAGGGUUUAAAACUCAACGAAAGCAAGAACACGCAAUGAGGUGAAUUUCCUCAAAUAAACAAAAGUUUCAUGAGAAUAAUUUUCGUUGUUGUUGUUGUUGUUGUUCUAAAGAGUUUGUGAGUGUGUUGAAGGAAAUAUUUCUGACUGCAUUAUAUUCAGUAUGCUUUUCGAAACCUAAAAUAGAUAUUAAAAUGCAUUUUACCAACUGAA